rnacentral:rRNA from 1 species
UACGAAGGUGGCAAGCGUUACUCGGAAUUACUAGGCGUAAAGGGCAGGUAGGUGGUUCGGUAAGUCUGUUGUGAAAGCUCCUGGCUUAACUGGGAGAGGUCAACAGAAACUGCUGGGCUUGAGUAUAGGAGAGGGUACUGGAAUUCCCGGUGUAGCGGUGAAGUGCGCAGAGAUCGGGAGGAACACCAAUGGCGAAAGCAGGUACCUGGACUAUUACUGACACUCAGCUGCGAAAGCUAGGGGAGCAAACAGG